GAUGAAGAACGUAGUGAAACGCGAUAAGUAAUGUGAAUUGCAGAAUCCAGUGAAUCAUCGAAUCUUUGAACGCACAUUGCGCCCGCCAGCAUUCUGGCGGGCAUGCCUGUUCGAGCGUCAUUUCAACCCUCGACCUCCCCUUGGGGAGGUCGGCGUUGGGGACCGGCAGCACACCGCCGGCCCUGAAAUGGAGUGGCGGCCCGUCCGCGGCGACCUCUGCGCAGUAAUACAGCUCGCACCGGGACCCCGACGCGGCCACGCCGUAAAACACCCAACUUCUGAACGUUGACCUCGAAUCAGGUAGGACUACCCGCUGAACUUAAGCAUAUCAUAAGCGGAGGA
rnacentral:misc_RNA from 1 species